AAGACUGUCUUCUUGAACAUCGGUGGAGCUUAUUUUCAGGUAACCUUGAUAUUUCAGACAGAAAAAUGGCAUACCAGGAACUCUGUCAAUCAGAAUAUAGCAGAAGAAGACAAAAGCUUUAGAAAGAAGAAACACUUUCCCUGUCUGCUUCACCAUACACUAAAGCACCAGAACAGAGGCACGAAGUGCUUUGGAAUAUUCAGAGUUUCUGCAAAGCAUGAGCCAUCAGUAGCAGUCUUGAAAAUAUUAUUUUAUCAAAGACAUGAGAACACAGAGUUAUAUUAUAUCUCUUUGUGCUUUUGAUCUGACUCAUGAUGCUGGCAUCUAUCCAUG
rnacentral:lncRNA from 1 species